rnacentral:rRNA from 1 species
UACGGGGGGAGCAAGCGUUGUUCGGAUUUACUGGGCGUAAAGGCGCGUAGGCGGUCAGCACAAGUCAGUUGUGAAAUCUCCGGGCUUAACUCGGAAAGGUCAACUGAUACUGUGCGACUAGAGUGCGGAAGGGGCAACUGGAAUUCUCGGUGUAGCGGUGAAAUGCGUAGAUAUCGAGAGGAACACCUGCGGCGAAGGCGGGUUGCUGGGCCGACACUGACGCUGAUGCGCGAAAGCCAGGGAGCGAACGGG